CGAGCUACUAAUGGUCACAAAUCAGAAUAGUACAAUGUUUCUGCUGUUUUCUGAAGCUACAUUAGAAAGCCAGAGGUGUUUACUUGAAGUUCUGCCAUGUUAAUGUUUAUGUGCUUGCUUUAAAAUGCUGUAGUUCUUUAACUAAUCAUGCAUUGUUAACCUCUUGGAAAAGGCAGCGCUUCAGACUACGGUGUUUGCACAGCAGAUUGUAAAAUUGUGUCUCAGAGCUCCAAGGGGGCUAGAACUGUCACGAAUACUUCUAAUAAUAUUGGAAGAAAAUUAAUAGAAGCUCAAGUCCUUGAGCAGGAAUCAGAAUCACACAGCACGGCAUUAUGCAGCCUCUGAAAUUUGAGGAACUGCUGUACAACAUUUCCCAUGCUCAGUUGAGUAGCCAUGUUUUAUCCUCCAGUAAAUGUUUAUUCGGCUGAUCUUACAUUUGGGAAAACUACGACAAAACAGUGGCUGAAGAAAGCUUUACUAAAUUGUUUUCAUUUCCACCAAAAGGACUGAGGAGCACUGUGAGACUGACUGUUCUUUGUGCUGAACUCAAGAGACAGCAAACUCAAUACUGGAAUCACAGGAUCACACAGAAUCACAGAAUGGCCUGGGUUGGAAGGGACCUCAAGGAUCAUGAAUCCCCAAACCCCCUGCCAGGCAGGGCCACCAACCUCCCCAGUUACUAGACGAGGUUGUCCGGGGCCUCAUCCAACCUGGCCUUGAACACCUCCAGGGACGGGGCAUCUACAACCUCUCUGGGCAGCCCGUUCCAGCACCUCACCACUCUCCUGGUUCCCUUCAGGUACUGAAAGGCUGCAAUGAGGUCACCCCGCAGCCUUCUCUUCUCCAGGCUGAAUAAGCCCAGCUCCCUCAGCCUGUCUUUGUAGGGGAGGUGCUCCAGCCCCCUGAUCAUCUUCAUGGCCCUUCUCUGGACCCU
ensembl:lncRNA